UAUAGACAUUCACUCAUUAAUAUAAAUGAAUGGCUAAAUGAGACAGCGUGAAUGUAGUAUUAUUUGGUAUUCAGUUAUAUCCAUAUUUUAACCUGUAAUGAGAUCAAUGAAGGAGGCAUGGCAGACCAACUGAGAAGUAGUCUGCUAAAGAGUUAAAACGAUUUAAUUCUAACGAAAAUAGUACUGGUCCAUCAAAUAAAAAAAAUAAUCCGAUCGGCUGUUUAUAGUUGAAUUGAAAAACUUACGAAAUUGUCAACCUUUUUGGUUAUAUAAUAGGUGUAGUAAAAAGAAAUCCAUUAUUUUUCACGGAAUUGAAGGCUUAUUUACCAUAAUUAAAAUAAUCCGAUUUAGGUCAAAUAUGCGACGUUUUGUUCGAUAACAUGUUACCUUUUUGAAAGUAAUUUCAUUAUACCUCUCUCAUAGUAGUCAUCGUCCCUAUUGGCAAAAAAUUAAGGCAAUCGAUUUUCACAAGCCUCUCACAGCGAAUGUUUCACCAGAAUAAUCGUUCGCAAUGGACAGAAACAGAUGGUAAUCACUUGGUGCCAGGUCUGGACUAUAAAAUGGAUGCAUAAGAACUUUACAACUAAGCUCCCGGAAAUUUUGGCGAUUCAUUAUCGAUGUGCGUGGCCAGGCGUUGUCCUGAUGCAAUACAAUUCCUUGUUAAAUAACUUGGCUAAAAUAUCUAUCCUUGACUCAACAAAAAGAUGGCUUUGUAACUAUCUUAUAGGCAGAUUAUGCUUUGUUGACUUUGGAAAUAAUGGAAAUGGAAAUGUCAAAGGUCACGCAAUUGAAGCAAUUUCAAUUCAUAUAUGUCUAAACUCCCAGACUCCCUGAGGGAGACAGAGUCAUAACAUAUGCAGAUGAUUGCACAAUUCUAACUACGUGCUAGGAUCACUCUAUAUUGUGCAAAUAUAAAUAUAUAUCUCCCCUCUGCAGCAUCGUUUUUGGAUAAUAGAAAAUUUCACCUAUCACCAAAAAAAUCCUGUCACUCUCUUUACUUCCUGGACUAAAGAGCUAUCUAUAACUCUGACCAUAAAUAAAUACAAUUUUUUAAUCCUUUAUUUACUUCAAUAAAAGGGAUAUAUUCAGAACAUUUACACUGUAGCAAUUAACUUGUUAGUGUCAUUCGUUCAUAUCCGAUAUUUAUAAUGUAAAUAUAACAUUACUAUAUACACUAGCAUGUGUUUCUUAAUGUAUCUCUGGAAACUAAGAUCUUCAACCAACGAGAAAUAGUAGAAGCAAUAUUACAAACACAAAGGAACUACAAAUCAGUUGUAAAGUUAAACCCAAGCAUGGAAAAUGCAACAAAAAAAAAGGUUUAGGUGUAAUGAAAAGCAUACACAACGUAGCCAAUUCGUCCGCUUUAAACAUUGUACUUAACACAGUUGAACGUAAAGAAAAAAAAAAGCAGAAGGCCAAAAAACAAAUAUGGUAGAUUAGCGAUUGAGGGUAAAGUGGUUUACUAACCACUUUCUCAUAGAAAAUUCUACGUGUACAACAAUCCAGCCUAAUCUUCUAGUAUCGAAAAAAGUAAGAUGUCUGUAAAUAGUUUUUUGAUAAAUUUAACA